GAUAAUAUUUGUUGGUUUUAAGUUUCCAUGGGGAAGGCCCCUAUCGUGAAGGUAUAACAGACAGCGAGCAACUUCCACGGCAAUUUUUAGUCUCUGACUGAAUGAUAACCGAGAAUACCUUCGAGGUGUAGUUUCCUUCAUGGAAAUCUGACCUAUUGAUAAUAAUAGAGGCUCUCAAAAGUGUUUCGGAAGAGGUCCCAUUCUAGGCUUCAAUGAUACACAACCGAAAACAAGAGGUUUGGCUUCAGUUUAUCAAGAAAAACUAUU
rnacentral:misc_RNA from 1 species